rnacentral:lncRNA from 1 species
UAGCCUAGGAUGCAGAGCCUGUUUUAAACUUGCAACUGUCAUCUACUGGUCAGGUCUCAUUUAAAGAAUUGAUGAGUCUGUAAGGUAUAUAUAUUUCAAGAUAUUAGUAGGUAGCUGAUCAGUCAUUUUCACUUGAAACACUGUGGAAGUAACCAAAGAGUUUUGGCAACCGCUCUCGCCUAUCGUAUUAAGCAUGUUAUUACAUUAAAAAGACACCAAACAAUGUUUUAUAGUAAUUUAGUGGGUGCAUUUCACUCAGAAGUUUUCAUCUUUGAACUGAUAUUUUUGUUUAACAGAUUAGGAGAUGUGUGUGUCAAAGGGGUUAUAUGUUAAAAAGCAACUUGGUUAGGUUUCUGCUAUAACAUUUUCUUUUAGCACCUUAAAGGUGGCCCAUCUCUACAUUUAGCUUGUGAUAUUGUGAGUAUUCUGAUAAAAAUUGUGAUGUGUUAUGAUCUUGGAGAUAGCCCAUAUAUUGUAGUUGAAGUGUUGGCUCUCCAUACUCUUCUUUUUUGAAUUUGAAAUUGUCACAUUUGACUCUAAAUUUUAAUUGUAGA